rnacentral:lncRNA from 1 species
AGUUGUAUGAGUUAUUUAUACAGUCUAGAAUAAAUACUUUAUUAUAUAUGUGAUUUGCAAUUAUUGUCUUUUUGGGGGUUGUCUUUUCAUGUUCUUAGUGUUUUUAUGCAAAAAUUUUAGAUUUUGGUGAAGUCCGAUAAAACUAUUUUUUCCUUUGUUUUUCAUGCUUUUGGUGUCACAUCUAAGAAGCCGUUGUCAAAUUCUUUGUCAUGAAUAUUUAACCCUAAGGUUUUUUCUUUAAGUUAUAUAGUUUUAAAUAAUACUGUUUAGGUCUUUGAUUCAUUUUGAGUUAAUUUUUUAUAUGGAUAGAGCCCAACUUUAUAUUUGUGAAUACAGAUAUCCAGUUGUCCCAGCACUAUUUUUUGAAAAAUAACUGUGGUUUUUUUUGUUUUUUUUUUUGUUUUUUUUUUUUUCUGUUGGAUAGUCUUAGCAACGUUGUUGGAAAACAGUUGACCAUAGAUGUACGGGUUUAUUUCUGGACUCUCAGUUCUAUUCCACUGAUCUAUAUGUUCAUGCCAGUACUACAAUAUUUUCAUUACUCUGGCUCUGUGGGAAGAAAAUAAGAAGAAAAAAAAAUUCACUCUGCAAGAUUCUCUAACCCAGAAACCCAAGAAGGAAAGAAAGAGCUGCAUGGUGACCCUGACAAGUCCCUUUUUCUCAACCCUCAUCUGAAAUAGAUGCAUACUACAAGGUCAGAGACUCCAGUUCCAAUCACUGACUUUGCCAACCUGUAUUUCUAAAGUGCUUUCUCAGAAGCACUGCAAAUGGCUGGUUAAAAAAAAAAAAAAAAAAAUCCUUUCCGUGCAAUGGGACAAGAAAAACCUAAUAAUAGAGCCACAUGGCAUUCCAUUCCUUAUAUAAA